rnacentral:lncRNA from 10 species
AGACUCCACAAAUGGGUGUGUGCAGGGAGCCUGGCAGCUGCUUUGUGCUUAACACACAUCACUGAGUCCAAAUAGAAGGUCUUACCUUAAAACAUAACUUACAGAGAACACAUGGUGACGCUGUGGGCUGGGAGAGCUUCGUAUCAAGGUAGCAGCUGCAUCUUCAGGCUCUUCAGUGUCCCGAGGGAACUGUCAGGUCUCUCAGGGCAGGUGCGGGCUCUGGGGGAAGCUGCAGUUGGGAAGACAGCUUGGCAGCUGCCCCUGCCCCUGCCCCUGCCCCUGACACACACUGGACAUGGACACAAACCAGCCCCACCAGGCCCCCUGCCGCAGCCUGGAGCCAGAGGUGGGAUUUCGCCAGGUUGCCCAUGCUGGUCUUGAACUCCUGGACUCAAGUGAUCCACCUGCCCUGGCCUCCCAAAGUGCUGGGAUUACAGGCUAUAUAUUGCUAAAGAAAGAAAAAGCACCAAUGGCUGAAGCUAGAGAGACCUUGCUGAGGAAAAGGGAACCAAAAAUGGGAAAUAGCGGCCUGGUAAAGAGGUGUGGCCAGAGGACAGCAUGGAGCACAGCCAGGAGAAACUGUUCUGGGUGAAGAGCCAGAUCUGCUCUGGAAUGCAGCAAAGAGCUCCUUCCUGCUUUCUCAGCCCCUGCAGCAGCUCCUGCUUCACUCCAAGAAAAUGCCAGCCCCCUAAGAACCUGUCCCUUUGGAACAGUGGAUCCAAAAGCUGACCCAAGAGACCUUGAACUUAACACCUCUGUGUCAUGGGCUCCUUAAUGAUAGAAAGAAGAUUGCUUUAGAAGACUGGUUUGCAAACCAGUCUGCUGGGCACUAGAAGCCUUGGGAAGAUUUGAAAAAUAAAUCUUAUUGGCCUCACCAUUUCACAUUCUGACUUAGAGGGUGUGGGCUCUCUAAUCUGAUUGUGUUUUUUUCUGUUUUUGUUUUUGUUUUUGAGACAGAGUCUUACUCUUUUGCCCAGGCUGGAGUGCAGUGGCGCGAUCUCGGCUCACUGCAACCUCCACCUCCCAGUUUCAAGCGAUUCUCCUGCCUCAGCCUCCCGAGUAGCUGGAAUUACAGGCAUGCACCACCACACCUAACUAAUUUUUGUAUUUUUAGUAGAGACGGGGUUUCACCAUGUUAGCCAGGCUGAUCAUGAACUCCUGACCUCAAGUGAUCCGUCCACCUUGG